rnacentral:rRNA from 1 species
AUUGAACGCUGGCGGCAGGCCUAACACAUGCAAGUCGAGCGGACGAAGGAUGAUUGUUCCUGUAUUCCGCGGCGGACGGGCGAGUAAUGCACAGGUAUCUGCCUGGUAGAGGAGGCUACCGUCAGGUAACGGGCGCUAAUACAGCACCCGACAAGAGGGAGAAAGUGGGGGUUCUUGGGUCAACACGCGAUCAGAUGUGACUAGGCCGAUUAAGCUCGUUGGUGGGGUAAAGUCGUACCAAGGCGACGUUCCGUAAACGCUAUGAGAGGAUGAACAGAAACACUGUAACGGAGACACGGACCAUACCCCUAAGGGAGGCAGCAGUGGGGAAUAUGGGACAAUGGGCGAAAGCCUGAGCGAGCAAUGCCGCGUGUGUGAAGAAGGUCUUCGGAUGGUAAAGCACUGUAAGUAGGGAAGAAAGACAGUAAUUGUAAGCAUGAAUGUUUUGACGGUACCAACAGAGAAAGCACCGGCUAACUACGUG